AUAAAUCUUGGAUUUGGGAUUUA
rnacentral:snRNA from 1 species